rnacentral:rRNA from 1 species
UACGUAGGGGGCAAGCGUUGUCCGGAAUCAUUGGGCGUAAAGAGCGCGUAGGCGGUCCGGUAAGUCGGUUGUGAAAACUGGGGGCUCAACCCUCAGAGGCCGACCGAUACUGCCGGGCUAGAGUCCGGAAGAGGCGAGUGGAAUUCCUGGUGUAGCGGUGAAAUGCGCAGAUAUCAGGAGGAACACCAAUGGCGAAGGCAGCUCGCUGGGACGGUACUGACGCUGAGACGCGAAAGCGUGGGGAGCGAACAGG